rnacentral:rRNA from 1 species
GAUGAACGCUGGCGGCGUGCCUAAUACAUGCAAGUCGAGCGAACAGACGAGGAGCUUGCUCCUUUGACGUUAGCGGCGGACGGGUGAGUAACACGUGUAUAACCUACCUAUAAGACUGGGAUAACUUCGGGAAACCGGAGCUAAUACCGUAUAAUAUAUUGAACCGCAUGGUUCAAUAGUGAAAGACGGCUUUGCUGUCACUUAUAGAUGGAUCCGCGCCGCAUUAGCUAGUUGGUAAGGUAACGGCUUACCAAGGCUACGAUGCGUAGCCGACCUGAGAGAGUGAUCGGCCACACUGGAACUGGGACACGGUCCAGACUCCUACGGGAGGCAGCAGUAGGGAAUCUUCCGCAGUGGGCGAGAGCCUGACGGAGCAACGCCACGUGAGUGAUGAAGGUCUUCGGAUCGUAAAACUCUGUUAUUAGGGAAGAACAAAUGUGUAAGUAACUAUGCACGUAUUGACGGUAACUAAUAAGAAAGCCACGGCUAACUACGUG